CUAUUAUGUCUAAUAGAGAUGUCGGGGUUGAUUGGAUGCAGAUGUUCGGGGAGGUUUCCAAAGCAGUGGCUUCCCGCCGGGCUGCCCUGCCCUCUCCGGGCUGAGAGCAGACACGUACAAUAACUGACGAGCAGUGGACGCUGGGGAAGGCGUGUGGCUCGGCAGCCCGUCGGGAGCCCAGGGCCGUGGCGUGAGGUCAGGGGUGCGGCCUGCAUGCACUGAAUGGCCCCAAGACAAUGGGCGGAAAGCCUGGAUGCUCUCUAAGCACCUUCCCCCUCUUGUCUGUGAUGGACAAUACAUCACCCGCCCUGCGCUCCCGUGGAAGCACAGGACCCAGGCUGGAGAAGGAGCUUGCAUAAAGCCAAGACCCCCUUUGUCACAGACCACAGCAACAAGGAGCCCCCAUCCUGCUGGGCACCACAGGAACACAGAACAGUAUGACCAAAGCCCUCGCGGUGCGAGGCCUGCGAUACCAGGCAGACAGGAGGAUGGGGGCGGAUGCUCCUAAUGGCAUUACAAAGCCCCUUCAAAGUCGUGCUGCCACAACAAAUCACCCACAGGCUUAAAGGAGGCAACAAAAAUGGGAAGAAGGAUAUGGCAGAGGGCCCUGGGGCCAGCCAGACCUGCCCCUGGCCUCCUGCAUGCUGCACGGCCCCCCGAGAGGGCAGGACACCCCGAAGCAGGCAGCUCCCCCCUUCAACUGCGGGGCAAGACUGUGCAUCUUGCUCCCGUCUUGCUCUGAAUAUUGGCCUGGAUAACAGAGAAGGCUCCUCCCAGCUACUCCCUCCUGCCCCAAGAGGCCUGGGCAGAGCUGGGUGCACUGGCCACAAAGCCAAGGGCGCUCAGCCCAGCAGGGAGACAGCGCGGGAGCCAAGCUCUGCCUGCAAGAGCCCACUGGGAGGAGGGCAGGAUGGGCAGUGCGCAAGUCCAAAACCCAACGCCAGGCUCCUGGGAUCAGCCGGAGGGAGGUGCUGCAGGAGGGAGGGCCACCGCUCACUCCGCGCAGGACGCUGCUGAACCUGGUGUGCAGGACGUGGCUCUACAGGCCUCCGAGUCCAAGCGGAUGGGGCGCUUGGCACCUGUGUGCAAUGCAGGGUGUGGGAGGGAUGAGGGAUGCAUCAGGCUAGACGUGCAUCUGGCCAGGGUCGUCUGACCCCAGCGCUCUCCCCUGCUCAGGGCAGGGGGUCGUUCUCGAUGAUCUGCUGAGGUCCCUUCCGACCCAAACAUCUGUGAAUCUCUGCAACCGGUGCAGGACAGCCUGGAGACAGGACCUGCGGCCACGGGGGAUUCCUGCCCUUUCCGCGCCCGGCUGGGGACGUGAAACCUCUCAAGAACAAACAGUUUGUGUGGAGGAGGCCAUGGCUCUCCAAACAGCUGGGCAGAGGCAACGGGCCUCGAGCAGAACCGAUCCCACCUGAAAUGGGGAGGGCGCGGGGCAGGAGGAGGAAACGAGCCGGAGAAAGAAGGGGCAGUCACAAACCCGGACGCACCCUCGUGCAGCUCCCCGAGAGCCUCCCAGCUCUCCCCACCCUGCCAGGAAUGCGGUUAUUCAAUCCCAGUCACCCGCAGCACUGGCUGUCACGCUACCGCGGGGGGAGCGGGGUUGCUGCACCGCCGGCCGCAGAGGGCCUCACAGUCUUCUGCUCUGACGUAACUCAACUAGCUCGGCAGGGCCUUCCCACGAGGACCUCCAGCUUCGCAGGGAAGGCUGCAGCGCGCCGAAGCAAAGGUAGAGACCACGGCCUCAGCAGCCGGCUUCAGUGCAGCACGAGAAUGAAAUACACUGGCCCUGCUGCCACCAGACAUCACAGUAGCAAGGCAAGGGGAGCCGGGGGCCGGGCGUUAGGACUAUGGACGGCAGCAGGACUGUAAGGGCUGCAGGAAGAGCCUAGGAUGGAGCAGCAGGGGCGGCGGCUGCCCAGCUCUCUGCCCAUCUCUUCUUCAUGCACCAAGAUCCACCACGGUGGAAAACAAACCAAGGCAGAGUCGGGGAGAAGAGGGAGGACCUGCCGGCUCCGUUAAGCGGAGCAGACAGCAGUGCUGGUUUUGUCAGGGGCGAGGGAGGGGAAACCCGAUCCCAAGGGCUUCUCUCAGCAGGAGACACACCAGCAUCCCCAGGGCUGUGCUACGGGGCAGACCAUGCCUACGAAGGAUUUGUCAGGGCUUCCAGAGACAGGCUUAUUCCAACCCCGCUGACAUCGGAGCGCAGCGACUGCUUCCGGCAAGGGCCAGUGCCGAGGGCUUCUGCUCCCCACCCGCAGAUCCCUGCCCCUGCCUCUGCGCAGGACGCGUGCCUUCUCCUGCAAACACCUUCCUCCGAUGGACACAUGCAGCCAGGGGGCUGCCGCGGCCCUCCAACCCGACCCCUGGAUGAAGUGGGUCAGGGAUCAGCAGGGACCAGCACGAGUGCAGACCGUUCUCACAUGUCCGGGACGGAGAGCGUGCCCGAGCCCUCGACAAGCUGCUUCAACGGGUAUCCUGUUUUUUGAAACUGGAAAGCCGGAAACCCGACCUUGUCCCUAAGAAGAGCUCCGGUGAGCAGGGCCCUGGACGAGGCGACCUCCUAGCCUAUGAUUCUAACUUGGGGGAACUAGUCACAUGCUUCAACCAUCUCCAGGAUCGUCACCAACCCUCCUGAGUGACAAAACCUUUAUCACUUCAAAAAGCACAACCACCGUGGCGUCAGCAGAGAGGAGGUCUUCACAUCCUCCGUGCACGGGAAGGUCUUUAUUCCCAGAGACCAACACGUUCAAGACUAGGAGCCCAGAGCUGUGUCACUUCGGGGCACGAGUCCCACUGACUUCAAGCUCUGAUGGAGGACAAGAGUCGGGUUGAAUCCUUGCACCUUUCUUGCCUUGCCUGGAUCAACGCGCUGGAAAACCCCGUUGGUUAUAAAUACAGUGCGGGCCGUUUGCUUCCCAAGUUCGUGUUGUUCUCGCAGUGCGGACGUUCGCGAUGCUCGGGGCUGGUCUUUUUCGGACCAAAUGAGCAUUUUAAGUGUGAAGCGUCAUAGCAGAAAAAAUCUCUGUCAAAUCCAAAAUGCUUCCUAGGUGAACAGGAACAAACAACCCGCCUUGCCAGUUUAACAGCCUAAACUGUGAAGAAUGUUAAGAACUAGCAACAAGCCAAUACAAAUUAUGACCUAAGUGAUUUUUUUUGAACCAGUAACUGGGUUUAUUAUUUUUACCCCUCCCUGAUUUAUACGUUAGCUCUGUAGCAUCCAAACCUGGCUGAAAUCAAGCCCAGGAACUGAGAGCGGGAUGACUCUCAGCCUGUUUCUGAGGCUACCUGUAUGGUCCCAUACAGCAUAUACGACAACUGGCGUGGGAUUUCUCUCUGCGCGUACUGCAAACUUCAAACAUUUUCUGUGGCUGUCUCUGAGCUAACCUGACCUUUCUCAGCAGCAGCUUCUCACUAAGUAAGUGGCCAGACGCUGCUCUCACUACAAACACAGGCAAUCGUGCCUACUUUCAUCUGUCUGCUUGGGCGUGGGAAGAAGGCAGGUGCACAUUUCCGUGUGUAAUUAUUUGACCAGAGUCUUGUUCUCUGCUGCUGGAUUUGCUCUUCUGUUGCAGGGUUUGCUAAUCCCCCUGCUAAUCCUCCCCACUCAGGAACAAUGCUUUUUAUCUAGAGAGACAGGAGAGAAAAUAAACCAUUUCCCCGGUAAGAUGAGCUCCUCAGCCCAGAGCGCGGGGCCCAAGCGCGAGCUGCUGAUGGAGCCCGGCAAUGGAGUCGUGUUAACGAACCAGCAACUCAGCUCCGAGGUCUGCGCCCCAUGUGUCUCGUGGCAACUGAGCAGGAAAACUUCUGGCAGCCGGAGCCCGGGUUCGUGAAGCAGCUUUCCUCAGGGCUCGACUCUGCCUCCGUCAGGACACGCUGUCACCAAGGUGUCUUUGUUAGGGCAACGUCACAGCUCCGUCCCGCCAGCCUCUCCGGCAGUGGAUUGCUUUCCCCCACGUGUUGUCUCUUGUCCUCCUCACCUCUUUAAAGUACCAGCACUGCGGGCCCCAACCCCUGACCAGUCUCCGAGUGCCUUCAAAGAGUCAGUAUUACCCGAGAGGAGCACUCCUGAUCCCGCUCGUGGCUUUAAGGAGGCAUUUUUUUUUUAACUGAAGAACACAUGGGAGUUGACUGCAACGCAGCAGCCCUCGCCAGCAGAAGCCCCGAGGCUUGGGAAGUGGAGAGUCUGAGUUCAGAUCUGCCGCUGCUCACAGUUUAAUAGAGCAGCCAUGUGUCACCGGCUCCGGUUCUGCCUCCAGGGAAAAGGUCUUUAUUUGCCAAGACCGUAUUUGCUGCCCAAGCUAACAGCCUUUUCAUGUGCACACGCGGGCCAUGUUUUCUCCACUCACUGCGCUGGGGGGAGUUUCCACAUUUCUGUCGCUCAAAAAUGGCCCUGAGCCCCCAGCCCCAGCCCCUGCGCAGCUCUGUAAGGCAGUGCCACAGCUCAGGACACCACGAGCUAGACAGACGCAGAAAGAAAAGCCUGCCUCACCCCAGUUUCCAUGAGACUCAAGUAACCAGGUGGGCAAGUUUGGGAAGGUGCCUGCUCUCAGCCCCUCUCUCACAUCCAGGCACCUGGCUUUGUUUAACCUUUUCAGUCCCUUUCCCACCCCCAGCCAGUACAGGUGCUCAGAUGCCCCCUCACCAUCCCAGUCUGCAAACUGGCUGCAGAUCUGUGGAGCUGAGGAGAAGGGUCCAGCUUUUCAUUUUGAAAGGAGUGGGGACAUUUUGAUUUGGGCCUCAGCGGGUGGCCUAGCGCGAAGAGCUUUGCAGGCACAGUCGGAGUCUCAGGAAGAGCACUAAUUAAAUGAGUCUGGUGCAUCCCAGCUCAGGCUAAAGGACUGGAAGGCACAAGAGCUCACGAAGCAGUCAGCACCGCCUGCCAGCCGGGGGAACGAGAGGCGCCGGGGCAGGGAGCUGUCAAAGCUCCUUCCCACUCAGCAGACCCUUCCUCACACCCAGCACCAAGCGCGUAGAUAUGAACAGCUCCUAGGAUCAUAGUUAUACCUUCUAGACUAACUGCAUUAGAGAUGCCAAGAUACAGCUCACUUCAUUACACCUUCGCUUCAUCAUGAGAUCUGCUGAAGCGAGGGGUUGCUCACAAAGCCUAUGCAUCUCUGAUUCAGUUAGUCUAGAAGGUGUUACUGUACCCUGCCUUCUGCUUGACUUCUGAUGGACACGGCUAAUUCCCUCGUAGUACUACUGAAAGACCCUCCCACCCUUCAGGCACAGACCUCCUCCGAACUUCCAGCCAAAUUCCUUCGUGCCACCCUUCAGACCCACGCGCUCUUGUGCCAGCCAGCCUGCUUGCCGACACGGCUCCUCUCCUUCCCUGACGCUUACCCAGGCGUAGCAGCAGAGAGCAGACCCCUUCCCUCUCAGCCUUUGCUCUGCUGAGCUAAAAAAGCCCAGCUCUUUAUCCUCUCUUCUCUAAGGUCAACUCUCCGUUUCCCUGAUCAUCCCCGAAAUCACAGUCUCAGAGCCGCAGGCCUGGCUGGCAGGGAGCUGCGGAGGUCACAUCCAGUCCAAAACCACCCGUAGGCAGGAUCAGCUCUGACCAAACCAGCCCGGACAAAUCCACUGUCCGACCUCUCAGCAAAACCACACGGUCCCUCUCUGCCCUUGUGCCAGGCAGAAUUUGUUGUCGUGGAACGGGAGGAGCAGAGCUGCGGGCAGCUCCCCAGGUGAGGUCCCACUUGGGCCUGGCAUUACCCCAUGCAUCCUAAGCUUGCACCUGCCUUUUUGGUGACUGCAUCAGAUUUGGCUCGUGGUCAUCCCAAGAUCAACUAAUACACCCCACCCUUCCUCCUCUUCUCUCAUGGCCACCGAUGAGCUCCCAGCUUACAAGAGAAAUGUUUACUAAUCUCUAAUUAACCCCAUUUCCUAGCUCGCCAUUAACCUUAUAGUUCUCAUACUAAUCCCCAUCCUCUCCAGCCAGCUAAUAAAUUUCCACGUGGCUCUGUGUCAAAGGGCUUUACUGAAGUCCAGCUAGACAAGAUCCGCUGCAUUCCCCUUGUCUGGAAAAUCAAUCAUCUUAUCAAGAACAGACAGCAGUGUGGCCUGGUAUGAUCGGCCUUUGAUAAACCCAUGGUGCGUUUCAGCUCAUUUUUGUUCACUUCUAUGUCUUCAAGUACUCUUUCCUUCCAAACGUGCUCUGAAGCCUGGCGUUCAGCUGAGGUCAGGCUAGCACCCCGUGGCUGCUCACACGGGUCCAUUCCCCUGCUUUUCUCAACCCCUUUGUGAGUACAGGCGCUCUCUCUGCCACUCUCCAGUCGCACUGUUCUCCCCAACCCAACCCAACCCAGCCCACACAGACUGAUUAAUAAUCCUUGUUCCUGCACCUGUUAUUUCAUGUGGUUUUCCCCCCUAGCAUUUAGGGAUAGCGACUGUCUCAGCACUGCAACCUGAGAGCAUUUUGCUUUUUGAGUUCUGCUCCCAUGAUAGUGGUGAUAGUUUCCAUUUCUGGGCCCUCCUUGCCAUUCGCCGUCACCCUCAGACCUGUUAUCGCUGCUCUUAUGGAAAACAGGCAACCAUUCAUUUGGUUUUGAGGCCACACCUAGAUUAUCCAUCAUUUCUACCCCUCAUUUCAGGGCAGCCCCACUUCUUCCUCAGACCUUUCACCAUGGUCAGCACGUUCUUCUGCUCCUGCCCACCUCUGAAGCACCAGGCAAGGCCUGGGGAGUGCUGUGCCCGUGUUUAUCUACAGUGCCUGCCAGAGCUGCGCGGAAGCACCUCCGACAAAAGCAAAUAUUAGAUAUCAGACAUCGCAGAAGAGAAGGAUUUUGGGAGAACAGCGAAGUGGGUCACUGAAGGGAAGGCAGCUGGAAAAGACCUGGAGGCUUCGAUAUGGGUUAGAGAUGGGCAUGAACUGCCUUGCCCUUUGAAGUGACUGCAAGCAGACACAACACGGGCACGUUCAUAGGCCAGGUUAAUUCUCCCCGACCGCGUGCUUCCCCUACCAUGCAGUCCAUCUCUGGUUACGGUGCGAGCCGUGGGGAGCUGCAACCCUUGUGUAUGUAGAGCGUCAUCCUCUGCUGAAAAGGGUGGACGGGAACAGGGGGCCCGAAGGACUCACCUGACGACAAUAUCGUAUUCAUCGAUUUUCAACCCCAGCGACUUGUUUGCAAGUACUCCACCAUUUCCCACGAUGAUACAGCGCCGGCAGCUGAGACUGUGGAGGGAACAGGGAACAGCUCGUGGUUAGGUUGUUCACUUACACAGAGCCGCUUGUAGCCCAGCUUCCGUGCAGCCUGCGGCUAUCCACGCGUGCCGGGAAACCUCUGGGAGCACCAGGAGUUUUACGGAAAGCAAGCAGAGCUGGGGGGCAGAGGGGAGGACAGGAUUAUGCUCCAUCCUUAGCUCAGUUUAUCAUGGCCACCUGGCACACAGGGCAAAGUGCCCAAUCCUGCAUACCGCCUGCAGCAUGACUAGGAAAGGCAAGCUCCUCUUGCUGUUUCCUGGAUCUGGCUGGCUUCAAUUAAACCCAUAGGUUACCUAAGCCGUUACCCAACCUUCGUUUCAUAAUCUAGUAAAUGAUACUGGGGAAAGUCCCAUCUCUCCACUAAACAAAGUAUGAAUGAUCCAGUCGGUAUGUCAGAGAUUAGCACCUGCAACACAGAUGGCAUCUGAUCACGCAAAGGACAGGAAGACUGAAUGGCAGGCCAGCCUCCUCCAAUGUGAUGACAGGUCCCAAACCCAGUAGACACACCACCGGGCUGAGACCCAGAGACCUGGGUGCAAUACCUGGCACUGCCACUGCUUGGCUUAGCGACCUUGGGCAAGAUAGUUCCCCCGCCCCCAACCCUCGGCUCACUUUCCCCAUGUGUACAAAUGGGGAUGCUGACCCCAACCCCUGGUCUAACAGACUAAGCAGCAGCACAGAACAGCUUGGUGCUGCUACCGUGUCAUCCUGCAGCCACGAACAUGCUCAGACGAAGUCACCCCGACGCACGUGGAAGGAGACACCGGACGGUAUGUGAAACAGCCACUCACAGACUGAAAUUUUAAAAGACCAGUGUUGGCUUUCCCAAACAGGCCUGAUCCUGCUUUGAACAGGGAGCUAGAUUAGAUGCGACCCCCUGAGGUCCCUUCCAGCCCAACUCUUCUAUGAUUCAAUGGCCAUGGGCAUUUCAGGAGACGUAAAAGGCCAGCUGCAGCUCGUCCUGAACGAUACAAGAAGCCUUCCUGCUUCGGGCUCUUACCCAGCCACAGCAGGGCUCCGCAGGACUUUGCUCUGGACACCCCCGAAAGGGUUGAACCCAGUGGAGCUGCGAGUACGAGGCAUGCAUAGCGCCCAUCCAGGCUGGCGCGUGCCUGCUCCAUCGUGCUCCACCUAGAUGCCCCGAGGAAUACUGGAGGAACCGGAGAAAACGCUCCUCUGAGUGCUCUCGUCAGGGCCUCGCCUACCUGGGCCCCAAAACAAGAAGAGCUUCAGGAACUACAGGCCUGGUUCUUCUUUCCCUGUCACAAGAGACCAGUCCAAAGAGAAGAAAGUCCCAGUGUCACAAGCACAGAGCGGGGGGAAGAGGCGUGACAUCAGCAGACUCUCUCUUUUUGCUAGCAAGCAAGAAAUUAAUCCUUGGGUGACAUCGAGAUGCUGCUUCACUGCAACCGUUUCUCAUAAAAUUGCAGAGGUGGCUCGCUCCUGCCAGGCUCUGGUGUCAGUCACUAAGAUUGGGCCUGAAGUGAGCUUCAGAGGUUGAACGAAAUGACUGAGGACUGACCUACUGCUACACCUGCCAGCUGAUGACACAGGCAUGAGUAACACAGUGCCCAAGGACCGCUCGGCAGCUUCCAAGCACAGCUACAAAUACAUUAGGGGAACGCAGCAUCCGAGACGACACAGCCGGGCCCGUUGGUGAGCAGGAGAACUUCGGCUGCUCCGCUCUGGAUGGCGGGACGGGGCAAACCUGCGUGGCGCUAAGGCCAAAAGGGGGCUGGUGAUUAUAGCAGCCAAGUCAGGACGUGCUUAGGGCAUGAAAACAGCCCGUGGACAGUGGGCCAGACAGCGGAGGAUGGGAGAGUCAGGGAGAACAGUGAAGCAGGAUUUGAUAGUGCAGCCUAUACAUGUGGCAAGGGGAGGAAGGAGUCCGUUAAUCCCAAAUUUAUGAGCUAGAGCAGCAGAAAGGAAAGAAGUUUUGUCAAAAAGACGGUGCGCGUGUGUGGGACGGAGGUGGGAAAAGGAAGGCGUCAGGACUUCAGCUGCAGCCACAUUAACAUGAAGAUGGUGACAAGCCCUGCAGAGAGGUAGGCCUAUAGUGAGGAUGACCGGUCCGGAGAGGCGACAUGUACUUUUCAUGGACUCCGUAGAGCCGUGGGCUGUUCUGACCGUCCAGUGUGACCUCUCAAACAGCCCGUGGCAUCCUCUCCUGGGCCUGCAGUUUCUGCAUCGGGCUCCAUUUAGGGCAUAAGAUGAGCGUAAGCAUUCGGUUUCCACCACGACAGUCUCAUUUUCAGCACCGGUCCCAGGUCUGUCAUUGGUUUGGUCAAAUGCUGUUGGUUUGGUCCCAUCCUCAGCAGGAUGCCCAUCCUCUGCACUCCUCGCUCCCCCAACACCCACCCCAGGCUCUGGCACAUGCAGCUGACCCCAGGGCUCAGAGACACUGAGCAUGCCAGAGAGCAGGGCGCCCGUUUGAGGGCAGGGCGAUAGGGUCACUCCAGGAUGAGUGGACACUGCAGGUAAAAGCCGGGGUGGCAGUUCACCACGCAUCAGCUGCUCUGGGGUAACUGCCCACGUGCACACUCAUACCCCGUGCAAAUGAGAGCUGAAUCCCACGAACUUGGUCCUUAGCAAACAGGAGUCCCCCAUCCCUUUAACUGCUCACCAAGUCAUUCAUCUGACUGUACCCUUUGCAGGAUGACAUCCAGCCUCAAAGGCUUCGUGGCAAUGACUAAACCCUCUCACUGCUAGAAACAUGCACUCGUUUACAGACUGCAUCUGUUUGGCUCACUACAGCGUCUUCUGCUGAAUUAAAGCAUCCUGAGCCACCAGGAAUUGCUUCCACGUGGAGGGCAGGAGCAGACAGGACAGGUGAAGCUCUUCAGUGUGCAGCUGCACACCGGGGUGCUUCCAAACUGCUGCGACCGCAUGCAGCCGGGGGUCUGACAGGGAGCUGUGGCCCCAUCGCGGGGGGAAGAGGGGCCAGUGCAGCUGACUGUCCCCGAGCGAUCUUCUGUCUGCUCGGCCUCUGCUCCCCGAGAACGCCUCCACCCCAAGCAGAUCUUUGUGCUUCCCCUCCAUUUGUGGGGAAGUGGGAGGGAAGGGACACAGCGUCGUGGGAUACACAGCAUCGUGGGGUCCCCUGUUGUGCUCUGUGCAGAGUAUAUAUGUAACGGGAAGAGCUUCAUUUUGAAGUCUUUUAAAUAGCAGUGCAGGGGUCAGCAAUAUUUUUGGGCCAAUUGUCAAAAAAUCCCGCAACCUCCACUUGGAAGAUGUUGGUGUGCCGGGGAGAUGGUGAGGCAGCCGUGAGGGGCCUGAUCCCUGUGGCAGCUCAGCCCCAGCUCCUUCUCCACCAUGCCCCCUGCGGCAUGCGACGAGCUGGGCUGGGACUCCAGACCCUGGUGCAGCCGCUUGUUGUGAGCAACCUGGGCUCUGGGCAGGACCCUGCUGCCCACCACAGAGCCCAGACUCUGGGCAGACCCCUGCCCUCCACCACGGGGACCGGGCUGCUCACAGCAGGGCUUGCGGCCUCCGCUGCAAGAGCCCAGGGUCCAUGGCCAGCAGCAGGGGCCUGCCCAGAGCUGGGGCUGGCUGUGGCGUGCUGAGCAAAAUGGUUUCACGUGCCACACUCCGGCACACAUGGCAGAGGCUGCCGACCCCUGUAGCAGUGGUUUCCUUCAGGAUUGCUCUUGCACUGCUUCAAAGGGUGUCUGAAGCACUUCAGAUGUUAUCUCUGUCCCUCGGUGUCACAGAUCGUGCUGGAGUGGUCACCUACCACUACUGCUAAGCCCUUCCUAUUGUUAUCACGUUCUCCCACCUCGCCAUUUCUCAGUCCUUGCAUCUGGCUAUUAAAACAACAGCUGUUUGCACGGCCUGCCUCUACCACCUGAUCUGGAUCAGUCCCAAUCGCUGACUUACCUUUAUUGAUAUUUACCAUCCUACCAGUUUUUGUUCAUCUGCAAAUAUCAGCACCAAUGAUAUUUGGAAUAUAUAUAUAAAUAUAUAUAUAUAUAUAUUUCCCAAAUCACUAAUGGAGAUUGAAUUGUAUUGGGCUGGAAAGAGACCCCACCCACCCACCGCAUGGACCCAGUAGCAGCACCACCGCAGAAUGACAACUCCCCACUUGCAAGGACUGUUUUACAUCUGAGUUAAGCAUUUUCUAAUGCAGUGAUUCCCAGUGCUUCUUUGUGUAGCGCUACAUUACAAACCGAAAAAACCCGAAGCAGAACAGCAUGUGGCACUAAGUCAAACGCCCUACAGCAGUCUCACUAUAUGAACACAGCUACUGGUAUCAAGAAAACCUGCAACAGCACAAAACAAAAUCUCAAGUGUACUUGACAAGCUGCAUUUUCCACAAAAUCCAUACUAAUUAACAUUAGCUACACUGCCAACCAUACUGAUUGCGUCCUAGAUCGACCUUUCCAUGAUUUUGCCUGGGAUCGAUGUCAAGCUCAUCAGCCUAAUUACACUGCUCAUCUCAUUUACCCUUUAAAUAAUGGCAGAGCAUCAGCUUUUUUUUCCCCAGAUCUCUGGAACUUCCCCAAAACUCCAAGGACUGUUAAAAACCAGUAUUAGCGGUUAAGUGUUCCACUUCUUGUGAUAGUUGUGAGUGCCAAUUGACUUACAAAUAUUGUACAGCUGCAUUUAACAACCUCCUCAAUUACUGAUAGAAUAGAAAAAUAAUUAAUUUUCACUGUAAAUGGGAAAACACCAUAUUCAGGGGACAAACUGACACCGGAGGAAGCCACCAUGGGUGUUGAUCCUCUCUGGAGAGGGAGCAGAGGAACGAGAUGAGCUGCAAGGCCUGGGUUGGGGAUUAGCGAUGGAGUCUGAACCAGAAGGAGAGGAUGAGCUGAGGGAGCAGCAGCACCCAAGCAGAAGAGCGAGCCUGGAGCCCUGUCCCUACCACCAGCAGUAGCACGGAGAAGGAUCAAUAGAUUUCGCAGCGUUUAAGGGGAGAAGAGACCAUUAGAUCAUCAAGUCCAACCUGCCGUCUAUCACAGACCAUUAUAUCUUCCCUGGCUACCCCUGUAUCGUUGUCAGCUAAAGCAUCUCCCAGAAACCCAUCCAGGCUUGAUAUGGAAGCAUCACAAAGACUCACCAGUUCUCCUGGGAGGUCCAGCAGCUCACCAGGAUUGCUUCCCCCCUCACCAAAGGCACUUAUACACCAUAAUAAAAUCACCCACUCCCAAUUCUGCCUGUUCAACUAUGA